rfam:Trichobilharzia regenti genome assembly, scaffold: TRE_scaffold0052325
AUUUAGUUGACGAGUCCCAAAUAGGACGAAAUGCGCAUCCUGGAU